rnacentral:sRNA from 1 species
ACUCGAACGACCUCCGCGAGUGCGCACG